rnacentral:rRNA from 1 species
GAUCAUGGCUCAGAUUGAACGCUGGCGGAAUGCUUUACACAUGCAAGUCGAACGGGUAGAGGGGGCAACCCCUCGAGAGUGGCGAACGGGUGAGUAAUAUAUCGGAACGUGCCCAGGUCGUGGGGGAUAACGUAGCGAAAGUUACGCUAAUACCGCAUACGAUCUACGGAUGAAAGCGGGGGAUCGCAAGACCUCGCGCGAUUGGAGCGGCCGAUAUCAGAUUAGGUAGUUGGUGGGGUAAAGGCUCACCAAGCCAACGAUCUGUAGCUGGUCUGAGAGGACGACCAGCCACACUGGAACUGAGACACGGUCCAGACUCCUACGGGAGGCAGCAGUGGGGAAUUUUGGACAAUGGACGCAAGUCUGAUCCAGCCAUUCCGCGUGCAGGAUGAAGGCCCUCGGGUUGUAAACUGCUUUUGUACGGAACGAAAAGGUUUCUAUUAAUACUAGGAGCUCAUGACGGUACCGUAAGAAUAAGCACCGGCUAACUACGUG